rnacentral:rRNA from 1 species
AUUGAACGCUGGCGGCAGGCCUAACACAUGCAAGUCGAACGGUAACAGGAAGAAUUUUGCUUCUUCGCUGAUGAGUGGCGGACGGGUGAGUCAUGUCUGGGAUACUGCCUGAUGUAGGGGGAUAACUACUGGAAACGGUAGCUAAUACCUCAUAACGUCUCAUGACCAAAGAGGGGGACCUUCUUGCCUCUUGUCAUCGUAUGCGCCCAGGUGGGAUUAGCUAGUAGGGGGGGUUACGUUUCACCUAGGCGACGAUGUCUAGCUGGUCUGAGAGAAUGACCAGCGACACUGGAACUGAAACACGGACCAGGGGCCUACGGGAGGCAGCAGUGGGGAAUAUUGCGCAGUAGGCGCAAACCUGGUACAGCCGUGCCGCGUGUAUGGAAGAGACCUUCGGGUUGUAAAGUACUUUCAGCGGGGAGGAAGGGAGUAAAGUUAAUACCUUGGCUCAUUGACGUUACCCGCUGAAGAAGCACCGGCUAACUCCGUG